AGCGGCAGACGGGUGAGUAACGCGUGGGAAUCUACCUUAAGCUACGGGAUAACAGAGAGAAAUUUCUGCUAAUACCGUAUGUGGCCUAUGGGCGAAAGAUUUAUCGGCUUAAGAUGAGCCCGCGUUGGAUUAGCUAGUUGGUGGGGUAAAGGCCUACCAAGGCGACGAUCCAUAGCUGGUCUGAGAGGAUGAUCAGCCACACUGGGACUGAGACACGGCCCAGACUCCUACGGGAGGCAGCAGUGGGGAAUAUUGGACAAUGGGCGGAAGCCUGAUCCAGCCAUGCCGCGUGAGUGAAGAAGGCCUUAGGGUNGUAAAGCUCUUUCACCGGUGAAGAUAAUGACGGUAACCGGAGAAGAAGCCCCGGCUAACUUCGUGCCAGCAGCCGCGGUAAUACGAAGGGGGCUAGCGUUGUUCGGAUUUACUGGGCGUAAAGCGCGCGUAGGCGGAUAGAUAAGUCAGAGGUGAAAUCCCGGGGCUCAACCCCGGAAUUGCCUUUGAUACUGUUUAUCUUGAGUGCAGAAGAGGUAAGUGGAAUUCCGAGUGUAGAGGUGAAAUUCGUAGAUAUUCGGAGGAACACCAGUGGCGAAGGCGGCUUACUGGUCUGCAACUGACGCUGAGGCGCGAAAGCGUGGGGAGCAAACAGGANUNAGAUACCCUGGUAGUCCACGCCGUAAACGAUGGAAGCCAGNCCGUUGG
rnacentral:rRNA from 2 species